rnacentral:rRNA from 1 species
AUUGAACGCUGGCGGCGUGCUUAACACAUGCAAGUCGAGCGGUAAGGCCCUUUCGGGGGUACGACGAGCGGCGAACGGGUGAGUAACACGUGGGUGACCUCGCCCUCCAGCUCUGGGAGUAAGCCUCGGGAAACCGGGUACGUAAUACCGGAUAUGACUCCAUGACGCAUGUUGUGGGGUGGAAAGCCUUGUGCGGCUGAGGA